rnacentral:snoRNA from 1 species
UGAGCCAUGUGAUGAGAUACUUACCGCCCCAGUCUGAUGCUAGUGACUGAAUGGUACUUUCUGAAGCUUG